CUGCCUAGACUUUGUGUGAACUUGAGAAGUGCUGACUUUAUAUAUAUAUUGUUGGGUAAAAGUAGUGGCAAAAAUGGCUGCAAAAAGCUAAGUUAGUUUUGAGAAAAUUCUAGCAUCAUUUGAGCAAGACCAAGUGAAAGCGAAGGAUUUCUGGCACAGGUGUGUUGCUGCACCUAGUUGCCACCUGCUCCAUUUUGGGACUGAUGAUAAAGUGAAAAUGAACUGAAGAAAUGCAGACCUGCCAUCACACAAACAGUUCAUAUACAGCCACCGCUCGCCCAUUGAUUAGACGCCACAUUGGCUGGGUUUGCACUUCCUGCAGACUCGGACCCCUUCGAGCGCCCACACAAUGGGGACGGUUCGCGUGCCAGAUUCCUGGUAUCAUCAUCCUCGUUGUCAGAUCCAAGAGGACGACCACCUACAGGCCCUCAUUAUUGUUCUAUGAAGUCUAGCCUUUGACCUGCACAUCCUUGUAAAUCAGCUCUUGUGCCUCAGGUGGUCCACACAUGGAUUAUUUGCUGCUACAUUGAUCCAUGAGAUGUAACUAUGAAACAUGACAUCAGUCUCCUCAUUGUGUCCUGUAGUCUGUGAAGUCAUCACAACCUUCAAGCACGGGAUGCUGAUACUUCAAAUGAACCAUAUGCAGGUCAGCUUCUGUAUUAUAAAUGAAUUAGGUUUUCCUUCUGUCAUUAACAUCUAUGGCUUUAAGGGGUUGCCAAGUAAUGAUAUCUUAAUCGUUGUUCCCAUUAUAGAAACUUCCCGGGGGCCAU